UAGCGUAUAUUAAAGUUGUUGCAGUUAAAAAGCUCGUAGUUGGAUCUCGGGUCCAGGCCUGCGGUGCAGCUUAGGCUGCUUACUGCUCGUCCUGACCUACCUACCGGUUUUCCCUUGGUGCUCUUGAGUGAGUGUCUUGGGUGGCCGGAACGUUUACUUUGAAAAAAUUAGAGUGCUCAAAGCAGGCUUGCGCCUGAAUAUUAGUGCAUGGAAUAAUUGAAUAGGACCUCGGUUCUAUUUUGUUGGUUUUCGGAACUUGAGGUAAUGAUUAAGAGGGACAGACGGGGGCAUUCGUAUUACGGUGUU
rnacentral:rRNA from 1 species